UACGUAGGGUGCGAGCGUUGUCCGGAAUACUGGGCGUAAAGCGCAUGCAGGUGGAUAUUUAAGUUUGAUGUGAAAGCCCUGGGCUUAACCUGGGAAUGGCGUUGAAGACUGAAUAUCUAGAGUUUGACAGAGGGUCGUGGAAUUUCCGGUGUAGCGGUGAAAUGCGUAGAGAUCGAAAGAACACCAGUGGCGAAGGCGGCGACCUGGGUUAAGACUGACACUGAGGUGCGAAAGCGUGGGGAGCAAACAGGG
rnacentral:rRNA from 1 species